GAAGGAUUGGAGAGGUGAUGUGGUGAUUCCGGCCACCACAGAUUGAUUGGAUUAGUUCUUCCACCGGAGUUGUGAUCAUCUCCGGUGAUAGAAGAAGUAGAGGACCUUGAUUUAUACGAGCAGCGUGACUUGGGGUGGUUCUGUUGAUUGCGGGAUAUAUCGAGGCAGUAGGUAGAUGAUAUGGAGAUGCUUGGAGUAUGCUGCUGGCCGGUCCCCUUUCCCACGUCAUAUCCGAGGACCUUUGUCGGUUUUGUUUCUCUUUUCUUACACUUCGUAUUUGUUGGAUUUAGAGUUGUGAGAACGAAUUGUGUUUUUGAUACGUGUAUUGUGGACUUG